UGGGGAAUAUUGCACAAUGGGCGCAAGCCUGAUGCAGCCAUGCCGCGUGUAUGAAGAAGGCCUUCGGGUUGUAAAGUACUUUCAGCGGGGAGGAAGGGAGUAAAGUUAAUACCUUUGCUCAUUGACGUUACACGCAGAAGAAGCACCGGCUAACUCCGUGCCAGCAGCCGCGGUAAUACGGAGGGUGCAAGCGUUAAUCGGAAUUACUGGGCGUAAAGCGCACGCAGGCGGUUUGUUAAGUCAGAUGUGAAAUCCCCGGGCUCAACCUGGGAACUGCAUCUGAUACUGGCAAGCUUGAGUCUCGUAGAGGGGGGUAGAAUUCCAGGUGUAGCGGUGAAAUGCGUAGAGAUCUGGAGGAAUACCGGUGGCGAAGGCGGCCCCCUGGACGAAGACUGACGCUCAGGUGCGAAAGCGUGGGGAGCAAACAGG
rnacentral:rRNA from 1 species